rnacentral:rRNA from 1 species
AGUGAACGCUGGCGGUAGGCCUAACACAUGCAAGUCGAACGGCAGCACAGUAAGAGCUUGCUCUUACGGGUGGCGAGUGGCGGACGGGUGAGGAAUACAUCGGAAUCUACUUUUUCGUGGGGGAUAACGUAGGGAAACUUACGCUAAUACCGCAUACGACCUACGGGUGAAAGCAGGGGAUCUUCGGACCUUGCGCGAUUGAAUGAGCCGAUGUCGGAUUAGCUAGUUGGCGGGGUAAAGGCCCACCAAGGCGACGAUCCGUAGCUGGUCUGAGAGGAUGAUCAGCCACACUGGAACUGAGACACGGUCCAGACUCCUACGGGAGGCAGCAGUGGGGAAUAUUGGACAAUGGGCGCAUGCCUGAUCCAGCCAUACCGCGUGGGUGAAGAAGGCCUUCGGGUUGUAAAGCCCUUUUGUUGGGAAAGAAAAGCAGCAGGUUAAUACCCCGCUGUUCUGGCGGUACCCAAAGAAUAAGCACCGGCUAACUUCGUG